rnacentral:rRNA from 1 species
CGGAGCUUGCUCCACCGGAAAAAGAGGAGUGGCGAACGGGUGAGUAACACGUGGGUAACCUGCCCAUCAGAAGGGGAUAACACUUGGAAACAGGUGCUAAUACCGUAUAACAAUCAAAACCGCAUGGUUUUGAUUUGAAAGGCGCUUUCGGGUGUCGCUGAUGGAUGGACCCGCGGUGCAUUAGCUAGUUGGUGAGGUAACGGCUCACCAAGGCCACGAUGCAUAGCCGACCUGAGAGGGUGAUCGGCCACAUUGGGACUGAGACACGGCCCAAACUCCUACGGGAGGCAGCAGUAGGGAAUCUUCGGCAAUGGACGAAAGUCUGACCGAGCAACGCCGCGUGAGUGAAGAAGGUUUUCGGAUCGUAAAACUCUGUUGUUAGAGAAGAACAAGGAUGAGAGUAACUGUUCAUCCCUUGACGGUAUCUAACCAGAAAGCCACGGCUAACUACGUGCCAGCAGCCGCGGUAAUACGUAGGUGGCAAGCGUUGUCCGGAUUUAUUGGGCGUAAAGCGAGCGCAGGCGGUUUCUUAAGUCUGAUGUGAAAGCCCCCGGCUCAACCGGGGAGGGUCAUUGGAAACUGGGAGACUUGAGUGCAGAAGAGGAGAGUGGAAUUCCAUGUGUAGCGGUGAAAUGCGUAGAUAUAUGGAGGAACACCAGUGGCGAAGGCGGCUCUCUGGUCUGUAACUGACGCUGAGGCUCGAAAGCGUGGGGAGCAAACAGGAUUAGAUACCCUGGUAGUCCACGCCGUAAACGAUGAGUGCUAAGUGUUGGAGGGUUUCCGCCCUUCAGUGCUGCAGCUAACGCAUUAAGCACUCCGCCUGGGGAGUACGACCGC